rnacentral:lncRNA from 1 species
CUUAAAAAGAAAGAAAGAACACCUGCUACAGCCCUGUCCCUUGAAACAUGACAAGGUGGUUGCAUUGGCACCAAGACCAGGAGGCUGAUCCCAGCGUCAAGGAUAUAAAUGAGAUUCCUUUGGGUUCAAGGAACUUAUGCUGGUCUGCUAAUUUGCUGCAUGGAAAUACAGAUGGGGCAAGCAAUUGUUUCUUCCUUCUCCUUUGUUAUAGUCCUUUACAGAUAAUGAAUAUAAAGAAGCAGAGUUCCCAAAGUCCGUGCUAA